GGGGAUUUAGCUCAGUGGUAGAGCACGUGUUUGAGUGUGCAUGAGGUCCUGGGUUCAAUCUCCAUUGCCUCCA
rnacentral:tRNA from 1 species